rnacentral:rRNA from 1 species
AUUGAACGCUGGCGGCAGGUCUAACACAUGCAAGUCGAUUGAGCGGCGGACGGGUGAGUAAUGUAUGGGGCCUGCCCGCACGAGGGGGAUACCAACUGGAACCGGUAGCUAUUACCGCAUCCUACCGGUUACACCAUAUGGGAUGAGCUAGUAGGUGGGGUAACGGCUCACCUAGGCGACGAUCCCUAGCUGGUCUGAGCGGAUGAUAAGCGACCCUAGGACUGAGACACGUCCCAGACGCCUACGGAGGCAGCAGUGGGGAAUAUUGCACAAUGGGCACAAGCCUGAUGGAGCCAUGCCGCGGGUAGGAAGGAGGCGCUGGGUUUGUGAAGUACUUGCGUUCGGGAGGCGUUACCGGCAGAAGAAGCACCGGCUAACUCCAUGCCAGCCGCCGCGGUAAUAC